rnacentral:sRNA from 1 species
AUGCGCCACGUGUGCACUGUGUUCCCGCGUGCCGUGCACACCCAACGGAUGGCCGCUCGCGACGCCUUCCAUCACGCC